rnacentral:lncRNA from 1 species
ACUAGCAUGUUGAAGCUCUCCUCACAUGGUGGAUUUGUGGUUUUAGGUUGACUUUUAUCCCUUUGAUAACAAAAGACCUUAACGCUUUUGACCAAUCAAUUCACCAACUUCUUUUGAGAUUUUUACCCCGAACUACGAGGUUUUGAUCCUACCUUUUUAAGAUGGUACGUAGGCAAUGGGUUUAUCCAUUCAAACACAAAAAUUGUA